AAGAGGAGUGGCGAACGGGUGAGUAACACGUGGGUAACCUGCCCAUCAGAAGGGAAUAACACUUGGAAACAGGUGCUAAUACCGUAUAACAAUCGAAACCGCAUGGUUUUGAUUUGAAAGGCGCUUUCGGGUGUCGCUGAUGGAUGGACCCGCGGUGCAUUAGCUAGUUGGUGAGGUAACGGCUCACCAAGGCCACGAUGCAUAGCCGACCUGAGAGGGUGAUCGGCCACAUUGGGACUGAGACACGGCCCAAACUCCUACGGGAGGCAGCAGUAGGGAAUCUUCGGCAAUGGACGAAAGUCUGACCGAGCAACGCCGCGUGAGUGAAGAAGGUUUUCGGAUCGUAAAACUCUGUUGUUAGAGAAGAACAAGGAUGAGAGUAACUGUUCAUCCCUUGACGGUAUCUAACCAGAAAGCCACGGCUAACUACGUGCCAGCAGCCGCGGUAAUACGUAGGUGGCAAGCGUUGUCCGGAUUUAUUGGGCGUAAAGCGAGCGCAGGCGGUUUCUUAAGUCUGAUGUGAAAGCCCCCGGCUCAACCGGGGAGGGUCAUUGGAAACUGGGAGACUUGAGUGCAGAAGAGGAGAGUGGAAUUCCAUGUGUAGCGGUGAAAUGCGUAGAUAUAUGGAGGAACACCAGUGGCGAAGGCGGCUCUCUGGUCUGUAACUGACGCUGAGGCUCGAAAGCGUGGGGAGCAAACAGGAUUAGAUACCCUGGUAGUCCACGCCGUAAACGAUGAGUGCUAAGUGUUGGAGGGUUUCCGCCCUUCAGUGCUGCAGCUAACGCAUUAAGCACUCCGCCUGGGGAGUACGACCGCAGGUUGAAACUCAAAGGAAUUGACGGGGGCCCGCACAAGCGGUGGAGCAUGUGGUUUAAUUCGAAGCAACGCGAAGAACCUU
rnacentral:rRNA from 1 species